UACGAACUGUGCGAACGUUAUUCGGAAUCACUGGGCUUACAGGGUGCGUAGGCGGCUUUUCAAGUCAGGUGUGAAAGCCCCCGGCUCAACCGGGGAAUUGCGCUUGAAACUGGAGAGCUCGAGUCAGCUAGAGGUGCACGGAACUUCCAGUGGAGCGGUGAAAUGUGUUGAUAUUGGAAGGAACACCGGAGGCGAAAGCGGUGCACUGGGGCUGGUCUGACGCUGAGGCACGAAAGCCAGGGCUAGCGAACGGG
rnacentral:rRNA from 1 species